UCAGCAAAAUGAGAUACGAAAUGAAAACUUUCCACGGCAAGUCGGCAACUAGUUAGCCCCACUCUAAGAAGCCAGGAUCUGAAGCAUAUUUUCGGUGCAUAAUGAGCCGCAACGACUUAGCUGGUCUACAAAUUAUCCCAUACAUUGUGGUUCAACUAAGCUCCAAAAUAAAAGGCACCAGCUCCACUCCGUCAUCUUUAACAUAGUGCCAAAAUUUCUUCGCUGGUAUGAACUCAUUGCCGUUCCUUCUCUCAUGGUACAAUCCUCUUCUCGCUGAGCCCCUCUGCCUUCAUCUUCGGGAGAUAGAUUAGAUGCGGAAAACCUUCUAGAACGAGAUUCUAUCUCAGAGGGCCCUCGCUACCAUCACAUCUUGGUCUUGGAGAGGGAAAUUCAUCAGCGAAAGAUUUUCAAUCUGUGAAAUUCAUUCUCAAGUGAAAACAUUCUUCCAGCCCCCAAGGGACAGGGAAAGUCAAUCACAGUUGAUGGAUCCAAGUUGACAUUCUUCAAAGGCUUUCCCGGACUUAAAGAAUUGACUCAUUGCAUCUGUAACUUUUCACAUAUUAUAUAUGAGGGUA
rnacentral:lncRNA from 1 species